UGACAACAAAAAGAAAAACAAAGAAAUUCAAAAAAGGCGGGAAAUUGGUUUUCUUUCAAUUCUGUUGACCCUUGACAACAGAAUUGAUUUAUUUUUCUCUCAACUGUUGAUUAAUUUAAUUUGUUUAUUCCAACGGUUUACUAAUUAUGGAUUCCAGUGAUAAUAGAAAUUGAGAAUAACAACAUCAAACUGUUGGCUGUGAUCAACUAGGAUUCGUUAUUCAGGUCAAGUAUAAUGUAACAAUUUAGGCCUUUGUUUGAUUUUCUUUUCUUCUCAAGUGGCAGGUCAUAAUUCACCCCUUUCUCUCUAUUAUGUGUGACCAUCGGGUCUUUGGGAUAAUGAUGACAUAUUAUUUGAUAUAUUAUCCACUACUAUUGUCCACUUGAUUCUAGUCAUGUUGUCCAUGCGAUCAAACCAUAGAGGAAAAAAAGAGAGGAAUAGUUAAAGUGAUGAAAAGGUAUUAAAGUCAUAAUUCAAAAAGGGUUUGAUUCAAUUGUUGACCAGUGGAUAGUUGUGACCAAAGGGAGACCAAUGGUGAAGAGUUUUUUUUUGUUAUGUUACAAAUAAUCAUAAUCAUAAUAGUAGAGGUAAAUUGUUAAGUGUUUGACUCUUACUGUUGACAAGCCAAUUUCCUGUUAAUGAUCUGUGAAUCUAUUUGUAAGAUUUUUUCUCUUCCUUCCUUCCACCGGUGACAAAUUGCCUGUAAUUUAUGUCCUUUUAUUGAUAAUCAAACCCUCAAAACAUUGACAACACUUUUCGAUUAACAUAUUGAUAUAAACAACGAGAAGUGUGAGCAAUACCAUUUACUACUAAUCAUCUACCCGAUUCUGGAUUAGCUUUUAUCAGGAGAAAAUCAUAAUUGAUUUAAUAAGGUAACAUGAUGAUAAAAGAUCAACAAUAAGGAAAAGUUUGGUGUCAAAUUAAUUUCAUCUUUACAUGAGAAUAUGAGAUAAUCUCAUUAACGUGUUAAUCUCUCAUUAUUGAUUACACUAAUUUAAUUGGUUAAACUUGCUUGUGGUAAUAAGAAUACAAAGUUAAUUGUGUCAAUAAUCAAUGUAUCAAGGUUACAUUUUCAAUUGGAAUUGAAAACGUGUUCAGCUUUAUAUCCUUUCUGAUUGUGCUCGUGUUUGAAUCAAUCAAUUAUUGUUUCAAUUAACAAUCUAACCAAAAGUAAAAGGUAUCGAUUGAAAUGAUUGUAGCAAUUAAUACUUAUGCUAAUUACGAUAUUGAUUCUCAGAUUACAAUCCAAGAUGAUCAGUCUGAUAAAUUGUCUAACCUUAUACUCUGACCCUUUUAACCUUAAUACCAAUCUCAAUUUCUAAUCAAUUUUAUCAACUUCAUCUUGAGAAAUCCAAUCAACCAAAUAAUCAACGGACCUUCAAGGUUUAGACUCAAAGCCAUUAAGAGAUUGGUAAAAUCAAUGGAAUCGACAAUGGAAGAGAAUGGAAAGGAAAAAAAAGAUGAAAGAAGAAAAAACAACAGAGAAGAAAAGAAAACAACAAUUCGAAACAUUUUAUCACAUUUAAUUCUCAAGACAAUUGACUUAACCAUGAACAUUUUGCUCUUUCCCUCCCUGGCCAACAUCCCAUUGUUGUUUUCUUUAUCCUUGUUAUCCCUUUUUGACAGUCUCUCCUUUUUUUUGUCAUCUUCAUCUCUUCCUUAUAUUGUCUCUAUUUGAAUCUACUGAUAACCUUAAUCAUCACCACCAUCAUUAACAGUAUCAUCAUCGUAAUCUAUUAACAUGGUCAAUCCUAAUCUGCUGGUGUUAAAGCUCCUGGUCAAAUAAGCAUCUUUCAAAUGGUUAUACAUUAUUUAUAAUAUUAUUGUAAUAAUAAUCGCCCAUACAAUGGAGAUGAAAAGGAAAAAGAGAAUCAAAUGAAGCGAUAUCAUCAUUAUCAUCCCAGGAAAAAAAAGGUGAAGAAGAGGAAAAGGACUCAAAGGAUAUUGUGUGUAUGUUAAUGGUGAUGAUGCUUAAGAUUUUCUGUUACAAAGUGACCUCACAAUGAGCAUUUGACGCUGUUGAUCAUCGAUAUCUCCCAUUUAUCUACUCGAAAUCGACACAUAUGCUUUUCUACACAUGUAUUAUUAAUGGAAAACAUGGAAAUCACUUGUUAAUGAUCGAUUUAGCUGAUGAUUUGCUUUCUAAUUCGAUUAACCAUCUCAAGAGAGGCUUCAAUUUCCAAGGAGAAAUAUAUCCAAUAUCGAUAUAUGUACUUAGUAUCUUAACAUUAAUUUUCUAUAACAAUUUAACUCACAGUUAAUACAAAAUCUUAUGCUCUUCAAGUGGCCUCGACUAAUCAUUCACAAUUGAAUAUUAUUAUUAUCAUCAUCAAUAUUAAAUGAAUACACCUAUUAUUAUAUAGGAUCCACUUAAGAAAAUGUUGAUAAUAAUAUAUAAUCAUGGAUCUACAUCAAUAUAUUGACCCAAGUAUCACAAUUAUAAAUAAUCGGGAUGAGGAUGGAGAUGAAAUUGUAACUGUAACUGUCUAAAGAAGAUGGGAGAGCAAAGAAUCAUCUGUUUACAUGUUUCCUCAAUCAAAUCUACAAUUUAAAAGGAAGAAUUAACCUCAAAUGGUUAACCAAAUUGGAUUACUCGAUGAUCAGCUUUAAAUUGAAACCAAUUGAGAUUCUGAUUGAAUGUAUUGACAAUCAGUUGACUUAAAAAAAAAAGCUACACUUACAAUCAUAAUAGCAACAUGAAUAUCAAUGUUGUUAAUCAUUUACAACAAUGAUUAAGAUAAUUGUAUGUAUACAAAGGAAUUAAAUCAAUUAUGGACCAUUGAUUAACUAAUUAAAUCAUUUCGCUGCAUCUGUUGUAAUAGUAUCUUAAUCAACUUGACUUUCUACUGGAUUAACUUUUUAUAAUCUAAAUGUUUCUACAAAGUAUUUAUAACGGAAAUGUUAAUCAUCUUGAUUUAGAUUUCAAUCUGAUUGUUUCGCUGAUAUUAAUCACGUUUUCAACAGUCAACAACAAAUUGUUACAAUAUUGUUAUACUGAUUUACUUUAAUCAUCAUGAUUAAACAAUAGACUUGCUCUGGAGACAUUUAAACAAUUAGUCAAUAUCCAUCCUUUGAUAAACGUUAAAUGGAAAUUGAUUGAUAACAAUUGGAUUCUAACAAUACAAUCAAAGACAACAAUACAGUGACUUUUGUUGUUUGGUGACCAUUAUCAUUUUCACCAUUCUAAUCAACAAUCAACAAACAAAAUCUGAUCAUUCAUAUGCUGAUUAUCCUUCAAUUACUGAGUCAGUUUUCCUUUGUUGUUGAAGAAAAAGUGAUUUCCAAAGAUUCACUUUUACUCUUUAUCUACAAAUCAUUGAAACAUUUGAAAAUACAAACAGAGAGAUCACAUCACCAAGGGAAUUAUCAUGAUGAUGAUCAUGUUAACAGAGAGUAACAAUCUGAAUCGCAACUAUCUAUAGUUAACAAGGAGGAAAAGAAGAAGAAAAAAACUUUAUAUUUACAAACUAAUCUCAAGGAAGGAAAUUCAUCAAUUGAUACAGUUAACAUUGGAUGAGGAAAAUGUUACAAUCACCAUUUGAAAAGAUAUAUAAUAUAUUUAUUAUGUACCAAGUAGGAGACAUAAAAAAAAAGUAAAUGCUGUUGAUGUAAACGGAGGAAGAAUCAUCAAAAAGCUCAAAGGAGAAGUUACGAAAAAAAGUUCCUAAUCGAAUCAAUUGUAAAUGGAGUCCAUCUAAUUAUAAGGUUGAAUUAAAUGUUAACCUCUACACAAACAUUCAAUUGAAUUCAAUUGGAAUUGAAUUGUGAUGAAGGUGAAAAAAAUGGACCAACACCUUACGCCUCUUACUCGGUGUUUACCCAACAACAUAACAGAGACUUUGGUUCAUUCGGUGAUGUAAACUAAUGGAUAAACCUAUGGACAGAAAAAAAGGAAAAGUGAAAACGAUUCUCAUCAUCAUCAUCAUCAUCAUUUCUCUCUCUCUCUCUUUCUCUAUUUGUAGUUGAAUAGAUUUUAAAUGAGACUCAAUUUGGAUGGAGAUGGUUAACAAAAGCAUAGGUGGAAAAUGGAUCAACAAAUGGUAACCUUGAUUGUCCAUUCAAUUGACAGUGUGUUUAAUAGAUUACGAUGAUGAUGAUUCUAUUUAUUUGCUUAACAUUUAAAUGAUAAAUAAUUAUGUUAACACAUAAGAAAUAUAAUCUAUCCUCUAUUUAGAUUAUGAUAAUAAUAUUAUUACAUAGGUAAAAAUGGAUUAUCAAUAUUUGCAAUCAAUUCUGGUGAUACAAUUGGAUUAACUUUGUUGUUUGUUUCCAAUCGUUUGUUAAUCAUUUUUUUUUCCUCUGGAUAUCAUUAAUCAUUUUCAAUCUUCAUCAUCUAUGACAACAAUUUAAUGAUCAACUAUUAGGAGGCUGAGGAAAAUUUUGCUGAUGAAAUUUCAAGAUUAAAGGACUUUAACCAAUUCUAUUGAUGGUAAUUCAAGGUGAUCAUUUACAACAAUCAAACUAAUUGUCAGAGUGUUAAAUGUUAUUUUUGUUUCUAUUUUUGUCUAAAUUUGUAUUUUAAUGGUUCAACAAUUGUUACCACUGAUAUUAGAUUGUAUCAGUCACCUUGUAUAUCCAACCACAUACAGGGAAGUAUUUUCUUUGUUACCAAACUAAUAUUUUGACAAUGUAACAAUUGUUAUCCCAAUAGAAGACUAGAAAUGAUUAUGAUAAUCCAUUUAAUCUCAUCUGAUUUUCUUUAGGUCAUAAAAGAUGAAGAUGGAUAUAAAAAGAUGAUGAUGAUGAUGAUGUGGUUAGUUUUUCUGUUUCCAUACAAUUGGAGAGACUCAAGUUAAUGAUGGAACUACAUUUUAGAAGCGAUUUCAUCUUGGAUAUAAAUUUACCGUUAUUUUCACUUUAAUCCAAAGGAGAUGAUGAUAAAAAGAUGUUACCUGUUAAUACCCUUGUUGAUUCAAGUUUGAAGCAACUUUUUAAAUUGCUGGCGAUGAUAUUGGUUGGACAAUUAAGGUUGAUGAUUAAGUUUUCCACAAGAUUAUCUUAUUGGAAAAACUUUUUUACAGAUUAUCGUUGGACUUUUCCUCGACUCGAAAUGUUAUCUUUAUUUAUCAUCUUUUCAUCUCGAUCAUUUCAGUAUUUAAUCAUAACAAUUUGAGAGCAAUUUAAUUACAUGAUUAGACAGAUAUUUAAUUACUGAUUUGAUUGGAACAAUUAUCUUUAGUUUCUUGUUUAUUAGGGAUGAAAAAUUAUUGAUAAUAAUCAAUUUUAAUCAUGUUACAGUUUGAUAAUUGAUUUUUUUCCAUUGUUACAUUGAUAAUGAUAUAGAAAAAUAUAUUUAUCUUGAUUAUUAAUCGUUAAUUUAUUUAUUAUCAUUAUUUAUGUAACAAUUUAAUCUUGGGUAAUAUGUUUAGUUAAUAAAUCCCAUUGUGGUCAUAAAUUAUUGUUACAAUUAAAGGCAAUUGUCCAAUUUAAUUGGAUUCACUGUGAGACUUUCAUAUUUAUGUAUAUUCGUUGGAAACAGUAACCUAAUAUUCAAACAAUUAACUUAAUCAUUAGCUUUAAAUCACAAUCAAGAACAAUAUUUAUAUCCAAAGUUUAUAAACUAUCAGCAAUUACCAAUGAAUACAAUUAACAUAAUUAGCAGGCUAUGUAAUUGGAUGAAUAAUUUAACCACAGAAAAAAAAACAAAUGUUGAUUAAUUUGAUGAUAUAAGCUAAUCAAAAGUAAAUUAUUGGUAAAUCAUUGAUUUAAUAAUUUAAUUGCUGUUGUUGUUUCAAUGGUUUGUUGUUAAAUUUGUAAUAACAAGUAACUGAUUUGAUUUGUUUCUUGAUUGUUGUUGAAAAAUCACUUCACUUCAUUUUGAUUUGAACACAUUUACAUACACUUCACAAUGAUGAUGACAAACAAUCAAAUCUAAUUUAAUUGUGAUUUUCAACUAUUGUUAGUUAUUGAAUUAACAUCAUCAAGUGAUUCAAUGAAAGAACAUGAAAUUUACAAUUUAUUUGAUUUUGUCUUAUUUACUUUUCCUGUUCCAUCAACCAUGUUAACAUGUAUAUCUAUUUGUCAACAAUUUGUAUUAUUAUUAUCAAAGUAAUACAACAAUUACAAUCACAAUUA